rnacentral:lncRNA from 1 species
GAUUAUGGCAUUCAUUGAUUUUGGAGAAUUUAACCAAGUAUCCUACUUUGCGGACAUAGUUGGUUUCAGUCUUUCAGAGUGGAGCUCUUCAGUAUUAGUAUUGUUUUGUCUUUAUUUUUCUUUUUGAUGUAUAUUAUCCUUCUUCUAUGUGUAAAGUCGUCAUUCACAUAGCUUUCAUUAAGGGUUUUCCUUUGAAAGUAAAAGGUUUGAAGAUAAAUUUAUUAAUAUAUCAAAUAAAAUCAUUUACCCUAGACCGUGAUGUUUUAUUCAAUUAUUGUGAUAAAUGUGAAUUGUGCUUCAUUAUCAUGUC